UGAGGAAUAUUGGUCAAUGGACGAGAGUCUGAACCAGCCAAGUAGCGUGAAGGAUGAAGGUCCUACGGAUUGUAAACUUCUUUUAUAAGGGAAUAAACCCUCCCACGUGUGGGAGCUUGUAUGUACCUUAUGAAUAAGCAUCGGCUAACUCCGUGCCAGCAGCCGCGGUAAUACGGAGGAUGCGAGCGUUAUCCGGAUUUAUUGGGUUUAAAGGGAGCGCAGACGGGUCGUUAAGUCAGCUGUGAAAGUUUGGGGCUCAACCUUAAAAUUGCAGUUGAUACUGGCGUCCUUGAGUGCGGUUGAGGUGUGCGGAAUUCGUGGUGUAGCGGUGAAAUGCUUAGAUAUCACGAAGAACUCCGAUUGCGAAGGCAGCACACUAAGCCGUAACUGACGUUCAUGCUCGAAAGUGUGGGUAUCAAACAGGAUUAGAUACCCUGGUAGUCCACACGGUAAACGAUGGAUACUCGCUGUUGGCGAUAUACGGUCAGCGGCUUAGCGAAAGCGUUAAGUAUCCCACCUGGGGAGUACGCCGGCAACGGUGAAACUCAAAGGAAUUGACGGGGGCCCGCACAAGCGGAGGAACAUGUGGUUUAAUUCGAUGAUACGCGAGGAACCUUACCCGGGCUUAAAUUGCAAAGGAAUUGCGUGGAAACAUGCAAGUCUUCGGACCUUUGUGAAGGUGCUGCAUGGUUGUCGUCAGCUCGUGCCGUGAGGUGUCGGCUUAAGUGCCAUAACGAGCGCAACCCUCGCCGCCAGUUACUAACAGUUAAAGCUGAGGACUCUGGCGGGACUGCCAUCGUAAGAUGUGAGGAAGGUGGGGAUGACGUCAAAUCAGCACGGCCCUUACGUCCGGGGCUACACACGUGUUACAAUGGGCGGUACAGAAGGCAGCUACCUGGCGACAGGAUGCCAAUCCCGAAAGCCGCUCUCAGUUCGGACUGGAGUCUGCAACCCGACUCCACGAAGCUGGAUUCGCUAGUAAUCGCGCAUCAGCCACGGCGCGGUGAAUACGUUCCC
rnacentral:rRNA from 1 species